rnacentral:sRNA from 1 species
UCUAGUUAACCAUCUUAAAGCG